rnacentral:rRNA from 1 species
UACGGAGGGUGCGAGCGUUGUCCGGAAUCAUUGGGCGUAAAGCGCACGUAGGCGGCCUGUUAAGUCGGGUGUGAAAGCCCUGGGCUCAACCCAGGAAGUGCAUUCGAAACUGGCGGGCUUGAAUAUGGAAGAGGGUCGCGGAAUUACCGGUGUAGAGGUGAAAUUCGUAGAUAUCGGGAGGAACACCAGUGGCGAAGGCGGCGACCUGGGCCAAUAUUGACGCUGAGGUGCGAAAGCGUGGGGAGCAAACAGG